rnacentral:rRNA from 2 species
AAAGAACCAACAGGGAUUGCCCCAGUAACGGCGAGUGAAGCGGCAAGAGCUCAAAUUUGAAAUCUGGCCCCUCCGGGGUCCGAGUUGUAAUUUGCAGAGGAUGCUUCGGGCGCGGUCCCCGUCUAAGUACCCUGGAACGGGUCGUCAUAGAGGGUGAGAAUCCCGUCUGGGACGGGUGGCCGUGUCCGUGUGAAGCUCCUUCGACGAGUCGAGUUGUUUGGGAAUGCAGCUCUAAAUGGGUGGUAAAUUUCAUCUAAAGCUAAAUAUUGGCCGGAGACCGAUAGCGCACAAGUAGAGUGAUCGAAAGAUGAAAAGCACUUUGAAAAGAGAGUUAAACAGCACGUGAAAUUGUUGAAAGGGAAGCGCUUGCGACCAGACUCGCCCGCGGGGGUUCAGCCGGUACUCGUACCGGUGUACUCCCCCGGGGGCGGGCCAGCGUCGGUUUGGGCGGUCGGUCAAAGGCCUCCGGAAUGUGUCGCCCCCCGGGGCGUCUUAUAGCCGGAGGUGCAAUGCGGCCAGCCUGGACCGAGGAACGCGCUUCGGCUCGGACGCUGGCGUAAUGGUCGAAGCG